UAAAGAGUGAAAUUUGUCGAGUUACUUCAGUGAAUUCAGUUCAUCAAUACCGCACCAAACUCCAAAAUGAAAUUCUUCUACUUCAUCUGCGUUGUUCUGGCCCUCAUCGCCACAGCUAUGGCUGCUUCAGAACCACUCGGCAUUCCAGGUUUAACAGGCGGUGCUGAUCCGGUUGGUGUAGUGGAUGGAGCUGUUGAGGGAGUAGUGAACACCGCCAGUGAUAUAAUAGGAGGAGUUACAAGAGGUGUAGGAGGAGGAUUGAUCUAAAUAGUUCAACAACUUCACUCAUCAUUGGCACAGGGCAUCAUGAAUAUAGAACACAAGGAAACAGUACCGACCUACUAACAUCUGAAGUUAUUGAAGAUCCUAUCGUAUGUUAAAUGUACGCAGGUUUCAACUCCUUUAAGGGUAGUUGGUGCAAAUAUUGUGAACAAUACAUAAUUGUAAAGUUUGUUUUUCCUAAUUUUUUCGUGACUGCUCUGUAUUAUUACUGUAAUAAACUUUUGUAAAAUAA